AGGACGGCUUGGUGGAGGCAGACUCCGUUUCCUAAGGGCUUAUCCCAAGUUAGAGUUCAGAGGGAAGGGAAUAGAACGCGACUUGUCCACCAAACAAAAUAUGCGUGUUACUACAGUUGUAUGUAGUGGUCAGGCAAAAAGAAAAUCAGAACUUCCAAAGCUGGAGUGUCAGGUGGUUGUGAACUACUCAACCUGGUUCCUGGGAACCAAACUCAGGUCCUCCGCCAAAGGAGCACAUGCACUUAGCCACUGAGUCAUCUCUGAAGUCCCAGAAACCUCUGAAUGCCCAGGUGACAAGACCAAGGCUGAGAGACUAGGAAAGGGCUAAGAAUCUGAGUCACUGGCUGAGCAAACUACAGGUCAAUGGUGGACCUUCUCAAAAGCAAUACAUAAAUGAUCGAGGAACAAAAGCAUCACAUCAUCAACUUUUGCCCUCCACAACUGCCUACAGAGAGAAUGGGUCGGUACCAAGGUCAGUUCAUAAUAAAGAGCUUUCCAGAAGCCCCCAUCCCCACCCCAAGCCAACAGGAAUUGGCAAUGAACUUUAAGAAAAGGCUACGCGAGCCAGAAAACAACUUAGGGCUGUUUAAUUUUCCUGACAUGAACGCUGGCCACCCAAGGGGAUAAAGGAAACACCUGUCUCCCGUGGGCAGCGGUUCUGCAGGGCGUGUGGAUAUCCAGAAAGCUGCUGGGAGACUUCUUUCACCCGCCAAGUUAGAGACAAACGAACCUGUGGAAAGAGUGGUUUCGCAGAAGACCAUGGACCCCAGCCUGGGUCUCAGCUCUGCCUCUGACUAGGAAGGGGCCACUAGAAUCAGCAACCCCGCCUCUAAGAAGAACAUAAGCUUUUUGCACAGUAUUCUCUCAGGAGCUUUUAUUGAGACUCAUAAAGGAAGCAACAACACUUGAGAGUGUUGCAAAGUGGAAAAAACAAAACAGAAACAAAAACAACAACAAAAAACACGUGAACAUGACGUUGGGGGAAAGGAUGAAACCAGCCAUCGCAAGCCAGGAGAAUCCUUGGGAAGUGAGGCUCAGCGGCUGAGCAGCCUGAGCACAGAGGUUCAGGGUCAGGGUAGGGUGCCUAGCGAAUUCCCGUAACGCAGGACACUGCCCAAGCCAGCUUCAUAAAAAGUCACUCCGUUGAUUUCAGGCUCAAUGGGAACAUCUCUUGGCUGUUUGCUGAAUUUAGACACUUUAAAAAGUUUUCUUUGACUGAACAAGGGGUUCCUGAGACCAGCUUCCUGAGGGUAUCUUGGUAAACAAGCCUCCCACCACGAAUUUCCUUGCUGUUAUUGUAACUGGUUUUAACUGCACUUGAGUUUGUUUGGUUUGGUCUUUUGUUGUUUUUUUGUUUUUGUUUUUUUUCUUUUUUCCUUUUCAGACAGUUGCACUUAAAAUGUACUAACUUUUCAAUGAGAGAUGUAGGUUUGAGAGAAAAUGUUUGAACUCCCUUGAUGGAUCCUGUUGGUCCUAAGGCAGAUCCCCUUCCCAGACAGUGUCGCUUUGGACGGAAAACACAAAUCCUUGGAGAAGUGAGGUGAUAUGAGGAAGUGGCUUGGCAAGCCAUGGCUGUGCCUUGAUCUGCUGCUAGCCUCCAACCCCAGCUGUACAGGCACUGUGUGAGGUGUUCAGCCAUGCCUUAGCCGUAGUAAGCAUCCUGGGUUAAUGAGGUAAUGUUCAUAUGAUUUGUGAGGUCACCUGAUAGAGGGAAAAGACACAUGGUCCUCCAUUUUGUAAUUUGGGGAGUGGGGAAGAUGGCAGGCUAGUGAAAUUCAGGAGUCAAGAAACAUGAUGUGACCAGUUACAUAUCACAAAAAAAGAAGGAUAAGAAGGAAGAGGAGGAAGAAGAA
rnacentral:lncRNA from 1 species